rnacentral:rRNA from 1 species
CAAAGAUUAAGCCAUGCAUGUCUAAGUAUAAAUAAAUUUAUAUUGUGAAACUGCGAAUGGCUCAUUAAAUCAGUUAUGAUCUACGUGACAUAUUCUUACUACUUGGAUAACCGUGGUAAUUCUAGAGCUAAUACAUGCAAAAAAACCCUGACUCACGAAGGGGUGCACUUAUUAGAUAAAACCAACGCUGGGUAAAACCAGUUCUCUUGGUGAUUCAUAAUAAUUAAGCGGAUCGCAUGGCCUUGAGCCGGCGACGGUCCACUCGAUUUUCUGCCCUAUCAUGGUUGAGAUUGUAAGAUAGAGGCUUACAAUGCCUACAACGGGUAACGGGGAAUUAGGGUUCGAUUCCGGAGAGGGAGCCUGAGAAACGGCUACCACAUCCAAGGAAGGCAGCAGGCGCGCAAAUUACCCAAUCCCGACACGGGGAGUAGUGACAAUAAAUAACAAUGCAGGGCUUUUAAAGUCUUGCAAUUGGAAUGAGUACAAUUUAAAUCCCUUAACGAGGAUCAAUUGGAGGGCAAGUCUGGUGCCAGCAGCCGCGGUAAUUCCAGCUCCAAUAGCGUAUAUUAAAGUUGUUGCAGUUAAAACGUCCGUAGUCAAAUUUUAGUCUUUAGGUUAGGUGGCCUGGUCUUCAUUGAUCAAGCUCGCUUCAGCCGAGACUUUUUUUCUGGUUAUGCUAUAGGUGGCUUCGGUCGUUUAUAGUCUCUAGCCAGAUGAUUACCAUGAGCAAAUCAGAGUGUUUAAAGCAGGCUUUUAAGCUUGAAUGUGUUAGCAUGGAAUAAUGAAAUAUGACUUUAGUUCUUAUUUCGUUGGUUCAGGAACUUAAGUAAUGAUGAAUAGAAACGGUUGGGGGCAUUUGUAUUUGGUCGCUAGAGGUGAAAUUCUUGGAUUGACCGAAGACAAACUACUGCGAAAGCAUUUGACCCAGGACGUUUUCAUUGAUCAAGGUCUAAAGUUAAGGGAUCGAAGACGAUUAGAUACCGUCGUAGUCUUAACCACAAACUAUGCCGACUAGAGAUUGGGCUUGUUUAUUAUGACUAGCUCAGCAUCUUAGCGAAAGUAAAGUUUUUGGGUUCUGGGGGGAGUAUGGGACGCAAGGCUGAAACUUAAAGGAAUUGACGGAAGGGCACCACCAGGAGUGGAGCCUGCGGC